AAAUCGCCCCCUAAGUUUUGCAACUGUAGCAGUUUUGGCCCCCCAAGAUCAAUUUUUGGUAAAAAAAAAAAAUAACACGUGGCACCUCAUUUAGGGUGCCACGUCAACGUUGACCGAGUCAAAAUUGGCUUUGGGGACUAAAACUGCCACAGAUGCAAAACUUAGGAAACGGUUU
rnacentral:pre_miRNA from 1 species